rnacentral:rRNA from 1 species
CAUGCAAGUCGAACGGUAACAGGAAGCAGCUUGCUGCUUUGCUGACGAGUGGCGGACGGGUGAGUAAUGUCUGGGAAACUGCCUGAUGGAGGGGGAUAACUACUGGAAACGGUAGCUAAUACCGCAUAACGUCGCAAGACCAAAGAGGGGGACCUUCGGGCCUCUUGCCAUCGGAUGUGCCCAGAUGGGAUUAGCUAGUAGGUGGGGUAACGGCUCACCUAGGCGACGAUCCCUAGCUGGUCUGAGAGGAUGACCAGCCACACUGGAACUGAGACACGGUCCAGACUCCUACGGGAGGCAGCAGUGGGGAAUAUUGCACAAUGGGCGCAAGCCUGAUGCAGCCAUGCCGCGUGUAUGAAGAAGGCCUUCGGGUUGUAAAGUACUUUCAGCGGGGAGGAAGGCGAUGAGGUUAAUAACCUUGUCGAUUGACGUUACCCGCAGAAGAAGCACCGGCUAACUCCGUGCCAGCAGCCGCGGUAAUACGGAGGGUGCAAGCGUUAAUCGGAAUUACUGGGCGUAAAGCGCACGCAGGCGGUCUGUCAAGUCGGAUGUGAAAUCCCCGGGCUCAACCUGGGAACUGCAUUCGAAACUGGCAGGCUAGAGUCUUGUAGAGGGGGGUAGAAUUCCAGGUGUAGCGGUGAAAUGCGUAGAGAUCUGGAGGAAUACCGGUGGCGAAGGCGGCCCCCUGGACAAAGACUGACGCUCAGGUGCGAAAGCGUGGGGAGCAAACAGGAUUAGAUACCCUGGUAGUCCACGCCGUAAACGAUGUCGACUUGGAGGUUGUGCCCUUGAGGCGUGGCUUCCGGAGCUAACGCGUUAAGUCGACCGCCUGGGGAGUACGGCCGCAAGGUUAAAACUCAAAUGAAUUGACGGGGGCCCGCACAAGCGGUGGAGCAUGUGGUUUAAUUCGAUGCAACGCGAAGAACCUUACCUACUCUUGACAUCCAGAGAACUUACCAAAGAUGCUUUGGUGCCUUCGGGAACUCUGAAACAGGUGCUGCAUGGCUGUCGUCAGCUCCUGUUGUGAAAUGUUGGGUUAAGUCCCGCAACCAGCGCAACCCUUAUCCUUUGUUGCCAGCGGUUAGGCCGGGAACUCAAAGGAAACUGCCAUGGAUAACUGGAGGAAGGUGGGGAUGACGUCAGGCAUCAGGGCCCUUACAAGUAGGCUAACACCUGCUUCAAUGGCCCAACAAAAAAAACGACUUCCGGAAGCAACGGACCUCAAAAUGCGCCGUAUCCCGAUGGAUUCGCACCCAUCCCUGAAUUCGAACCCUUUAUCUGGGAAAAAAGCCCGGGGAACAAUUUCCGGGCCUUGUCACCCCCC